rnacentral:rRNA from 1 species
GCAGCCCUACGGGACGCAGCAGUAGGGAAUCUUCCACAAUGGGCGAAAGCCUGAUGGAGCAACGCCGCGUGGGUGAAGAAGGUCUUCGGAUCGUAAAACCCUGUUGUUAGAGAAGAAAGUGCGUGAGAGUAACUGUUCACGUUUCGACGGUAUCUAACCAGAAAGCCACGGCUAACUACGUGCCAGCAGCCGCGGUAAUACGUAGGUGGCAAGCGUUAUCCGGAUUUAUUGGGCGUAAAGGGAACGCAGGCGGUCUUUUAACUCUGAUGUGAAAGCCUUUGGCUUAA